CCAUCUCAUUGGGAGUUAAGCCAUGCAUGUCUAAGUAUAAGUUAUAAAGGCGAACUGCGAAUGCCUCAUUAAAACAGUUAUAGUAUCUUGAUAAGGUUUUUACAUGGAUAACCGUGGGAAACUAGAGCUAUACAUGCAUAAGGACCCCAAGGUUGUAUUUAUUAGCUAGACCCAAUGGCAUUGCCGUUGUGAGGAAUCAUAAUAACUGAUCGGAGCGCAUAAGCAUGCGCUAAAUCUUUCUAGUUUCUGCCCUAUCAGCUUUCGAUGGUAGUGUAUUGGACUACCAGGGCUAUCACGGGUAACGGAGAAUUGGGGUUCGAUUCCGGAGAAGGACCUGAGAAACGGCUACUACGUCUACGGGAGGCAGCAGGCGCGUAAAUUACCCAAUCCUGACUCAGGGAGGUAGUUCCAAGAAAUAGUUUCCCGGAGCUUACAGCUCUAGUUUUCCAAUGGAUAUAAUAUAAACCCUUAUCUGAAAUCUAUUGGAGGGCAAGUCUGGUGCCAGCAGCCGCGGUAAUUCCAGCUCCAAUAGCGUAUCUUAAUGUUGUUGCAGUUAAAAAGCUCGUAGUCGAAUUUCUGGCCGGACGCGUAGCUUUGAGCAUACGUCGGCCCAGGUCAUCCGCCUGUGAUCAGUUGCUGUCUUUUACCGGUCACUUCUAGGACCAGGCAUUUUACUUUGAAGAAAUUAGAGUGUUUCAGGCAGGCUUUCGCUUGAAUACACCAGCAUGGAAUAAUGGAAUAGGACUGGAUUCUUUUAUUGGUCAUCGAAUCUAGUAAUGAUUAAUAGGGACAGUUGGGGGCAUUCAUACUUGUGAGUCAGAGGUGAAAUUCUUCGAUUUCACAAAGAUGAACUAAUGCGAAGGCAUUUCCCAAGGAUGUUUUCAUUGAUCAAGAACGAAAGCCAGGGGAUCCAAAACGAUUAGAUACCGUUGUAGUCCUGUCCGUAAACUAUGCCGACUGGGGAUUGGUAAAAUAAUAAUUUUAUCAGCAUCCAAUGAGAAAUCAAAGUCUUUGGGUUCUAGGGGAGUAUGGUCGCAAGGCUGAAACUUAAA
rnacentral:rRNA from 1 species